rnacentral:rRNA from 1 species
AGCGAACGCUGGCGGCAGGCUUAACACAUGCAAGUCGAGCGGGCCCUUCGGGGUCAGCGGCAGACGGGUGAGUAACACGUGGGAACGUACCCUUUGGUUCGGAGUAACGCUGGGAAACUAGCGCUAAUACCGGAUACGCCCUUUUGGGGAAAGGCUUGCUGCCGAAGGAUCGGCCCGCGUCUGAUUAGCUAGUUGGUGGGGUAAUGGCCUACCAAGGCGACGAUCAGUAGCUGGUCUGAGAGGAUGAUCAGCCACACUGGGACUGAGACACGGCCCAGACUCCUACGGGAGGCAGCAGUGGGGAAUAUUGGACAAUGGGCGCAAGCCUGAUCCAGCCAUGCCGCGUGAGUGAUGAAGGCCUUAGGGUUGUAAAGCUCUUUUGUCCGGGACGAUAAUGACGGUACCGGAAGAAUAAGCCCCGGCUAACUUCGUG